rnacentral:rRNA from 1 species
CCUACGGGAGGCUGCAGUGGGGAAUAUUGCACAAUGGGCGCAAGCCUGAUGCAGCCAUGCCGCGUGUGUGAAGAAGGCCUUCGGGUUGUAAAGCACUUUCAGCGGGGAGGAAGGCGUUAAGGUUAAUAACCUUGUCGAUUGACGUUACCCGCAGAAGAAGCACCGGCUAACUCCGUGCCAGCAGCCGCGGUAAUACGGAGGGUGCAAGCGUUAAUCGGAAUUACUGGGCGGAAAGCGCACGCAGGCGGUCUGUCAAGUCGGAUGUGAAAUCCCCGGGCUCAACCUGGGAACUGCAUUCGAAACUGGCAGGCUAGAGUCUUGUAGAGGGGGGUAGAAUUCCAGGUGUAGCGGUGAAAUGCGUAGAGAUCUGGAGGAAUACCGGUGGCGAAGGCGGCCCCCUGGACAAAGACUGACGCUCAGGUGCGAAAGCGUGGGGAGCAAACAGGAUUAGAUACCCUAGUAGUC